rnacentral:rRNA from 1 species
UACGUAGGGUGCAAGCGUUUAAUCGGAAUUACUGGGCGUAAAGCGUGCGCAGGCGGUUAUGUAAGACAGGUGUGAAAUCCCCGGGCUUAACCUGGGAACUGCAUUUGUGACUGCAUAGCUAGAGUACGGUAGAGGGGGGAUGGAAUUCCGCGUGUAGCAGUGAAAUGCGUAGAUAUGCGGAGGAACACCGAUGGCGAAGGCAAUCCCCCUGGACCUGUACUGACGCUCAUGCACGAAAGCGUGGGGGAGCAAACAGG